AUUGAACGCUGGCGGCAGGCCUAACACAUGCAAGUCGAGCGAAGCGGCGGACGGGUGCGUAAUGACUAGGAAUCUGCCUGGUAGUGGUGGAUAACGUCAGGAAACGGGCGCUAAUACCGCAUACUAUCAGAUAAGCCUAGGUCGGAGUAGCUAUUUUGUGGGGUACAGGCCUCCCAAGGCGAAGAUCCGUAACUGGGCUGCGAGGAUGAUCAGUCACACUGGAACGGAGACACGGUCCAGACUCAUACGGGAGGCAGAAGUGGGGAAUAUUGGACAAUGGGCGAAAGCCUGAUCCAGCCAUUCCGCGUGUGUGAAGAAGGUCUUCGGAUUGUAAAGCACUUUAAGUUGGGAGGCGUUACCAACAGAAUAAGCACCGGCUAACGUCGUGCCAGCAGCCGCGGUAAUAC
rnacentral:rRNA from 1 species